UACGGAGGCCCCAAGCGUUGUUCGGAUUUAUUGGGCGUAAAGGGUGCGUAGGCGGCAUUGUAAGUCUGGUGUGAAAGGCGUGGGCUCAACCCGCGGACUGCAUUGGAUACUGCGAUGCUAGAGGACUGGAGAGGAGAAUGGAAUUCACGGUGGAGCAGUGAAAUGCGUAGAUAUCGUGAGGAAGGCCAGUGGCGAAGGCGAUUCUCUGGACAGUAUCUGACGCUGAGGCACGAAGGCUGGGGGAGCGAACAGG
rnacentral:rRNA from 1 species